UAUGCUGUAAGAAUAGAUAUUUGAAAAUUGAGUUUCUCUUAGGGACCAAAUUAAGUUCAGUUGGGUUCAAUAGCUACCCUUGCUCAUCUGUCUCCCAUCUAGACAGUCACUUUCAAGGUUACUGGGGUCUCGAGUAGCCU